UACGUAGGGGGGCUAGCGUUGUCCGGAAUCAUUGGGCGUAAAGAGCGCGUAGGCGGCCAGAUAAGUCCGGUGUGAAAGUCAAAGGCUCAACCUUUGAAUGCCGCUGGAAACUGUCUGGCUAGAGUCCGGGGAGGGGCGAGUGGAAUUCCUGGUGUAGCGGUGAAAUGCGCAGAUAUCAGGAGGAACACCAAUGGCGAAGGCAGCUCGCUGGAACGGUACUGACGCUGAGGCGCGAAAGCGUGGGGGAGCGAACAGG
rnacentral:rRNA from 1 species